UUUUUAGAUGGAGUCUCACUCUGUUGCCCAGGCUGGAGUGCAGUGGUGCAAUCUCGGCUCACUGCAACCUCUGCCUCCUAAAUUCAAGUUAUUCUCCUGCCUCAGCCUCCCUAGUAGCUAGGAUUACAGGCGCACACCACCACGCCCAGCUAAUUUUUGUAUUUUUCGUAGAGGGGGGUUUUACCAUGUGGGUCAGCCUGGUCUCGAACUCUUGACCUCUGGUGAUUCACCUGCCUCAGCCUCCCACCAAGUGCUGGAAUUACAGGCGUGAGCCAUCAUGCCUGGCCAAGGGUAGCUUUUUGAACCCAAAAUGUAUUUCAGAAUUUCCUAGGAAAGCUUAAAGAGAAGAAAUCUGAGUUUACAUAGUUCUCAUUUUCUGAUCCGUUGCUUUCCUAGGUCCCCUUAACUCUGGGACAACCAGUGGCACUAAUAACAACAGUGAUGUCAGUUACAGUUAUUAUAUGCCCAAGAGGAUGAGCUUCCUCUGUUUUUUAGUUUCUUUGCUUGAGAAACUUUAUACAAGUUUUCUGGGUUUAAGUGCAUUUGAGUGUCAUCACACUAUGUUGCCAUAAUGCAUUCUCAAUUGAUAGUGAGAUCUUUACCCAACCAUGGGCUUUUUCCUUCAUUUCUCAUCCCUAUCAUGUUCAUUACAUUAAUAAAAGGAACCAUUAGGAAGGUAUGUUUUUUCCUCUAGAACUAAAUUAGGCAUGGAUUGUCUGGGGACAUUACAUAAGGGGCAUUGUACAGUGUAAUGAAAUAGUCUUGUAUUUCUGCAAGAGAUAAGGAACUGUUUAUAUUCUUCAUGUUCAUUUUCUAAUGUUGAUCUUUGAUAAAAGAACAAAAUGUUAAAAUUCUGUGAAGGCUAGAAAUCGAUUGUCUAGAAUUGGAGUGCUCUGCUGAUCUGCGUAAUUAAUUAUAAAUUUGUCACUGGGCUAUUUGUCUCAAAAAUCAUGUAGAUUCUUUUCCUGAAAGGUUACUAUGUGUCUAGCAGGUCGUUGGGUAAAGUGUAGAAAAGUGAGAGUAGGUCGGGCAUGGUGGCUCACGCCUGUAAUCCCAGCACUUUGGGAGGCCAAGGCAGGUGGAUCACCUGAGGUCAGGAGUUCAAGACCAGCGAGGCCAACAUGGUGAAACCCCGUCUCUACUAAAAAUACAAAAAUUAGCCGAGCGUGGUGGUGCAUGCCUAUAAUCCCAGCUACUCGGGAGCCUGAACCCGGGAGGUGGAGGUUGCAGUGAGCUGAGAUUGCACCACUGCACUCCAGUCUGUGCAGCGGGAGUGAGACUCCAUCUCAAAAAUGAGAAUAGACUGUAUUUAAAGCUACUGAAUUACAUUACCUUGAUUUUCAAAUAUUGGACUAAUGUUGUAUUCCUGUAUAAGCUCCAUUUGGUCAUAGUGUGUUCUUUUUCUGUGUUGCUCUAUUUUGCUACAUUUUCUUGAGGAUUUUUUUGCUACUUUGUUCAUAAAGGAUACUGAUUUGUAAUCUUCCUUUACAAAGUCUGUCCUAUUUUGAUAUGAGGCUUAUCCUGGUCACAGAAAUUGAGCUGGAAAGUGCUCCCUCUUCUAUUUUCUGAAAUAAUUUGUUGAAGAUUAGUAUUAUUUUGUCUUUAAUAUUUGAUAGAAUUUACCUGUGAAACUGUUUGAUCCUGUAGUUUUCUUGGAGGAAGGGUUUAUUUUACAAAUAUACUCUUUCAUUGAUAAUUUGUAUUUUCUCUCUCUCUUUUUUUGUUUUUUUUUUUUUUGUUUGUUUGUUUGUUUGUUUUUUUGAGACAGGGUCUCACUCUGUCACCCAGGCUGGAGUGCAGUGGUGCUAUCAUGGCUCACCUCCUGGGCUUGAGUGAUCCUCCCACCUCAGCCUCCUGAGUAGUUGGGACUACAGGCAUGUGCCACAAUGCCUGGCUAAUUUUUUGUAUUUUUUGUAGAGACUGGGUUUUGCCAUAUUGCUCAGGUUGGUCUGGGACUCCUGGGCCCAAGUGAUCUGCCUGCUUUGGCCUCCCAAAGUUCUGGAAUGACAGGUGUGAGCCACUUCUCCUAGCCUGUUUUUUUCUUAAUUCAUCUUGCUAAGUGUUUAUUAAUCUAAACAUCUCUUUAAUGAACCAACUUUUCUUAAUGUGAGUUUUUUUUUUUUUUGAGACGGAGUCUCGCUCUGUAGCCCUGCUGUGUAGCCCAGGCUGGAGUGCAGUGGUGACAUCUCGGCUCACUGUAAGCGCCGCCUCCUGGGUUCACGCCCUUCUCCUGAGUCAGCCUCCCGAGUAGCUGGGACUACAGGUGCCUGCCACCAUGCCCGGCUAAUUUUUUGUAUUUUUAAUUGAGAUGGGGUUUCACUGUGUUAGCCAGGAUGAUCUGAUCUCCUGACCUCGUGAUCCGCCCACCUCGGCCUCCCAAAGUGCUGGAAUUAUAGGCGUGAGCCACUGCACCUGGCUUCUUAAUGGUCUCACUCUCUGUUGCCCAGGCUGGAGUGCAGUCGUAUGAUUGUGGCUACCUGCAGCUUCAACCUCUUGAGCUCAAGUGAUCCUUCCAUCCCAGCAUCCCAGGUGCCCAAGUACAG